CCUUCGGGUUGUAAACCGCUUUUGUCAGGGAAGAAACGCUCCAGAUUAAUACCUUGGAGUAAUGACGGUACCUGAAGAAUAAGCACCGGCUAACUACGUGC
rnacentral:rRNA from 1 species